rnacentral:rRNA from 1 species
CCUACGGGAGGCAGCAGUGGGGAAUCUUGCGCAAUGGGCGAAAGCCUGACGCAGCAACGCCGCGUGCGGGAUGAAGGCCUUCGGGCUGUAAACCGCUUUCAGCAGGAACGAAAAUGACGGUACCUGCAGAAGAAGGAGCGGCCAACUACGUGCCAGCAGCCGCGGUGACACGUAGGCUCCAAGCGUUGUCCGGAUUUAUUGGGCGUAAAGAGCUCGUAGGCGGUCUAAUAAGUCGGGUGUGAAAACUCUGGGCUCAACCCGGAGACGCCAUCCGAUACUGUUAUGACCUGAGUUCAGGAGGGGAGCGGGGAAUUCCUAGUGUAGCGGUGAAAUGCGCAGAUAUUAGGAGGAACACCGGUGGCGAAGGCGCCGCUCUGGACUGAAACUGACGCUGAGGAGCGAAAGCAUGGGUAGCAAACAGGAUUAGAUACCCUGGUAGUCCAUGACGUAACGGUAGGCGACUAGGUGGUGGUUACGUAACGUAACGUAAACGUACCGCCGCCGUCGCGUACGACUAUUAAGUCGUCCCGCCGUCGGGUAGGUACGGUCGCGACGAACGUAAACUAACAAGUAGUAAGUUAGUACGGUUCGUUGUAGACGUUGCCGACGGACGACGACGAGGGAGGAGG